AGAGUUUGAUCCUGGCUCAGAGCGAACGCUGGCGGCAGGCUUAAUACAUGCAAGUCGAGCGGGCGUAGCAAUACGUCAGCGGCAGACGGGUGAGUAACGCGUGGGAACGUGCCCUUUGGUUCGGAACAACACAGGGAAACUUGUGCUAAUACCGGAUAAGCCCUUACUGGGAAAGAUUUAUCGCCGAAGGAUCGGCCCGC
rnacentral:rRNA from 1 species